rnacentral:lncRNA from 1 species
UUAACUUCCUUCUUUAAAAAGCAAAAGAAACUUAGUAAGCAUCUAGAAGUCCUUUCUCCACCCAGCAGCUGCACUGAAGGCAGUGAUACUGAAUCAGUAAUUGCAAUGAACAGAACCACAGAACCUCUGAGACUGGAAAUCAUUUAGAGACUGUCCAACAUACAAAUUAUCUAUGAGUGGAGAUACGUUUCUAAAAAUGUCCCCUCCUUUCUUCCACCAUUCAGCAAGUUCCCAACUCAAGGGCUAAAACAUGCAGCAUAAGCACCAAAUACAAAUAGAAGAAAACUCCAUUCUGUAGUAACUGAUUUUUCUAACUUCCAAGCCCAGCUGCUUUGUAAAGUGAUAAACAUUUUUACACUGUGCAGACACUGUUACUUGGAACAGUAUUACUGUGGAAGAGGAAAGGUUUUGUCCUCUGUAGUACCAUAUCUGUACACUUUCUCAACAACGGAGACUUACUGCCCUUUCAGCAUCCACAAGCACCAGAAGUACCCUAGUGUUUAAAAUCACAGAAUCAUAGAAUGCCCUGACCUCAAGGAUCACCGUGUUCCAAUCGCCCUGCACCAGCAGGACUGCCAGCCCCUAGAUCAAGUACUAGUUCAGAUUGCCCAGGGCCCCCAUCCAACUUCACCUGACAGCCAGAAAGUAAUUAAUCUUUCUCUUCCCUUCUCAUCAUCUAUCCCUUAUCCUUUGACUUGUUGAAGCGGCUCAUAUUAGAGGAAUCAGAAGCGAGUAUUUCUGAGCAUCUCCUGGCAGGCAACUAGUCUCUUUUCAGCAGCAGAUCAGACAAAGUAUCCAGAUGAAAAAACAGAUCUGGCAUUCAGACCACCAACGAGCUUUGCUUUUCUGUAUGUCACUUCCAAGCUAUGACUAAUCAAAGGUUUAGCAAGCUAUUCUGCAGUCCCUGUUACGAGACCAUUACAGACCAUUCAUGAGUCACUUACCUGCAGCAGUGUCUUACUUCCUACACUGAUGUGUACUACACUGAAAUCCAUGGUUCGAGUAAUUUUCCUACCUCAAACCUCUCUUCAAACAAACAUUUAAAGGAGCUUUAAAAGAAAGAAUACAAUCAUGUUCAACUGAAUAAAAUCUAAAACUACCCCCCCCGCCCAGAACAAGGUGACUCCAUAAAAUUGUUUUAUAGACACAGUCCAAGUACAAAAUUUAAAAACAAAUCCAUGUUCAAUGACACCACAAAGAUAAAAAGGGCAGCUCUGAGAUCUGUCGAUUCUACAUUUUUAAGUUAGGUGCCAUAGAAACUUCCAAGGAAUUUGUUUAUUAACAACUUUCAUACAUGUUGUAACAACACUGUUAAUAAAAAUCAGGUGCUCUGACACAAAAUACAUCGUUCACGCAAACAGAUUGUCAUUUUACCAGCACAGAGGGUACAGCAGAGAUUUACAGAACUGUCACUUUGUUCUGGGUUGCUGGUAACCUUUACUUUUUUUCUGCAACUGUUUCUGCUCUUGCUGAUCUGCUUUAGUACUUCCCAAUGCAUUUCCCAUUCAAGUCAUAGGUUGGAGCUCUGUCCCAUCUUCACUGCCCCGUCUCAUGCUUCCGUGUUUUUGCCUGUCUGUUAACUUGUUAUUCUGAUUCACAAACAUCUACAAACAGAAAGUAGGGUGAGAUCAUUUGGGAAUUCAAACCAUUAUUUAAAAACCAAUAAUUAUUUAAAAAAAAACAAUCACCUUGUUAAGGAAGACAAUUAACCUGGGACUAUGCAACUAGCUGGAUGACACAAUGAUAACUGGGAGGGACUGCAGGGGCGGCAAGGGUGGUGAAAGCAGCUGAGGAGAAUGAAUGAAGAAUCCCCACUACUUCUGCUGCAGCAACGGGGACUCCUUGUCCAUCUGAAUCACUUCCCAGCUCUCUGCCUACCACCAGGGAGCCUCCCUUCCACCCCCAGAUGUUUAUCACCCAACUGAAACACAGAUGUCGCAUGUCAAUGCCUUCAUGUGUUGGGAAACUCCAAGUUCUGGGCUAUGUGAACAACGUGCUCUUAAUUAUGCAAUGAGGAGGAGUUUGGACAUGCUGCCCCCAGUUUUUCCAUACAAGGCUAUAUAUACUGCUUUCCCUGCUGGGAAGGCUGCUCACCCCUGCGGGAAGUCUUCUCCUCACCCCAGAAUCCAGGGCAUGGCUAACUACAGGGAAUUAAGACCAGGGUUAAAGAAAAGCUACCAGAAAGUUUGAAAGUGGAGAAAGGAAAGCCUCUGUUUCAUGAAGGAGAAUUGGCUUAAGAAGUAUUCUAGCAUUUGGCAAAAGAAAGGGAAGAAAGGUCAAGGCUUCAGAGUUUUCCAUUAAGUAAGAUAUUCCUUUUCAGGACAUUUGCUUAAGUACUGUACUGAAUGAAGGCCAAAGAUCUGCUUUCCUCUGUAAAAAGGGUUAAGCCUAUCUUGAGGCUGCCUUUUUAUUCCUUUUUGUUUGUUUUUAAAUGAAAAUCUAGGAACAUUACGGGAAUCUAAGAGCAGCAUUAAAAACAAACAGUCAAAAAAAAAAAAAAACCCAGUUCUUUUGAUGCUUUUCUGUAGAAAUUCAUCCAGAAGAUUCACAUCAUAUGAGCUGUUCUGGCUGUGGAAUUUUUCAUGAAUCACCAAGAUUUUGUCACAUGGUUCAUGAAGAAAAAGACAGAACUGCCAAAACAGUAUGAAAGGAAAAAAACUUCUGUCUCUUCUAAUAUUUUCUUCAUAUGAAAAUAAUGGCAUGUGUAUGUUCAAAUGCUUCAGAUACAGUUGUUAACUAAAGCUCUUCAUCACUAUUAGCUACGUAAUAAUUCUCUGUGGAAAGCUUGUAAUACGACACAGUAAUUAUCACAGUAAGAGGCAGAACAACCAGGCUACAGCAGAAGGAUGUAAUCAAGAGUUCCAAUAUGGUUUUUUGGCGUAAGGAUCUGUGCAUGGAUGAAGCAGAGCAACUCAAGUUUGAAGUAAGAUUGUUCAAAACUACAGCAUCCAUCAGAAGGCAGCAGACCAUAGCUAGCACAGAGGGACCACUGGGAGUUCAUUUACUUAUAUUUAUACAUUCAUAUAUAAUUUGCAUCCCUGAGUCCAUCCUGAUCUAAGGUGCUGGAAAGGAAAUAGUAUCGGAUGAGAGUCAGAUUACUAGGCCCCGUGGAAAGACAAACUCCCCAGAAGGUUAGAAGCAAGCAUCUUUGCUGUCAUCACUGGAGUUUACCAGCAGUUCCUGGUCCACAAAGUACGGCUUCUCUGCAGAUCCAUCAUUUGUUUCCAUAUCAAUAGCAAAGCAGAGGAACGUGGUAUCCAGCGUCACUUCAAACACAGACAGAAAGCUGUGGGACAUCAGGUAGGCAAAAAAUCCAACCAGCAACAGAGGAACUACCCAAGCUUGCAGCUCCCGGUGGUAGUUAAAUGCCAUCAAUCCUCCAAAAACAGUAAAACAUACAACAAAAACCUGUAAGGGGCAUCAAGAAAGAAAUACAGCCUUAUUAAUCACAUAGUAAUGUUUUAAGGAAAAACAUAAAUAAGAAAAAAAAAAAGACCUAUCAAAACCAACAGGCACAUUACAGCUGAUAUUUUAACAGUACAUCCCAUCUGGAAGAUGGCUAUGCAGGUUCUGGCUUCAUGUAGUUAUCACAUUUGGUAUUCAAUUCAAUGUGUCUAUUUUGUAGGGCAGAGGCAACUUUUUACUGUAUAUUUACCAGAGGCUCUCUGCAAUAGAAACUGCAAGAGCGGUGCCAUGGACACUAGUAAAGCACACACAAAUAACAGUAAAGGCUAUAAAAAGGAUUAAGUUCUUCAAACAUUACUUUCUCUCCCAAAAUCAGCUUUGAGCAUUAACACUGAGUUCAACAAAAACAAACCUUAUUUACCUUCGGUAUACAGAAAUGGAAUAAGACCCUGAUUUUUCACUUCAUUCUUACAGAAGAGCACUUUCUUUACUCCUACCUUUCCUAGAAAUAUGAUAAAACCUCCAAAACAGCUAAUGGAUGCCAAUUCAGCAGAACUCUUCGUCAAAAUGAAGACAGCAUCCUUUGCUGAGGUACAAAAAUUUGUCCCAUUUAUGGCGGUAGUUGUGUACACAUGCUAAAAUGAGAGAAGACAAUGCAAGAGAGAGGAAAGAUGCUCUUACUACAGGCUUUACUUCAACACAAUUAGAAGUCUGAAACACAAUUUGGAAAUACUGACUUUCUGAAUACAAAGAGUUAUUUUGAAUAAUAGGACAAUUUUAUUUCAAGUGACUAAAGUAAGUUAGUUCUGACUUCAAACUGUUUUUCUACAUCAUUUCCACCAUUAACAAAUACUAGAACAUAAAUAGUUUCUAAACCUACUUUUAACCAAUUUAUUUUAAAACACCCAAGUUCUCUACCCUAAUUUUUGUUAAUAAAUAUGACAGUUACCACAAAACACUUAUCAGAAGUCACGCUAUCUCAACUUACUUCUUCUCUAUGAAUCUAUUCCCAAGACCGCUUGCAGCCUACCUAAGUGGAACAGUCUAGCUAUGUGGUUUCCAAGUCAUUUAAAAGUUGAUUAAAACCACGACCCUUUUGGACUAUCCAAACACUACUGAAAUUCAAGCUUAUGGCCACAGACAUAAAAUACAAUCAUUUCAUGAGCAACAAGAAGAAUUGUGACAAUGACUGUAAAUGAGCAGUUAAAGGACUAUGGACCAGCUGGGCAAGUCUUACAUCACAAAAAAUAACAAUUACAGCAGACUAUGGGGGCACUCAUGGUUUUUUUUAGUAUGGGGAAUUUCACAAGGAAAACUGCCAAGAUGGUGGGUGACCAUCUUGGAUUAUUUUAGCACCUGUUCUGUGUAACAGGACGUAUCUGUUCCAUUUACAGAACUCCUCAAUGAGGUCUUGAAAUAGCAGCCAAAAUAUAAGCUAGGAAAAGCAGCACUUGAGACACCCAAAAAGUUAGCUGGACUUUGCCAGCAUGUUUUAGGAAUAGUUUUCCUUUUCUCUAAGCAUUAGAAGGUGGAUUAUGUCACAACAGAAUAGUUACAGUCAGUAAGAACCACAGUGUACGGUCAUUAAGAACUGCAGUGUGCAUGGGAUAACGGUUCUGAAGGAAUGCAUAUACCCUGACAUGUACUGCAGUCUUAGAUUAUUUUUUGCUUCAACUGGCAGUGGAAAAAAAAAAUGGUUUGAUGAAAGAGAAUUACAUUGGCCUGCUAUUAAACACUUUCUGUUAAAAAAAAAAAAAAAAAGUAUCUUUCUUCUUACUUAUAAAUCAAAAUAUAAAAAAGCUUCAGAUAUCUCAAGGCAGAGAAAAUUAAUUCUGCAGGGUCCACUUUUACCCAAUUUCUGUAAUACUCUGUAACGUAGCAAAGCUAUACUGACAUUACUGUACCUUAAAGUAUUACAGAGAAAGAAAGAAAUUAAACACAAAUAUAAUUUGUAUCUCCACUGUGAACAUUACUGAUUUUAUAUGUAACAGAGGAUUUUUUCCCUCUGAUUAGUAAGCCAAACAGAGUAUACUAAACACUGACAUCCUGUAAACAUUGUACUGGGAUGGCAGCUAGUGCUCCCAUAGAUGCAAAUAAGAGCCAUGGAUUUUUUUUUUAUCUACUCCAAGAAAAGAAAAAAAAAAAAAAAACAAAGAUUCCUCUGAGCUCUGCAGAAACCACUAUUUGCAUAAAAAUCUGUUUGAACAAGCAAGUUCACUUCUUUCCUAAACACGAAAAAUUGCUUUCUCCACUAACUCCCAUUUACACCAAUGCUGCUCCCCCUCCAUCGUCUGCCUGCAGCUGUCCCCGCAGUUUUCAGGCACGGUGAGACCACAACGCGUUGUGAAUUAAGUCUGUUGCAGCACCUCCAUUAGCAGACAGGAAAUAAGACACAAAGUGGAAAACGGGUUUUGUAGGUUUGUUUCUGUCCCAUAAGAACUGAACUCACAAAGCGGAUCCUGAUCCAGUGAGUUCAGCAUGCAUUCUGCCAAUUAAUUAAUCAGAGAUUCCGUAUUCAUUAUAAAUAGAAAAAUAAAUAAAUUACGUUUAAAAAAUUAAAAAAGAAUGCUAAAAAUGCAUGUGCACUUGGACAAACAUUGCUUCCAAGCUUUAAAUAAAUAACUACUUGUUUGCAUUCUGGCAUUAUCCACCUCGGUAUCUGAGGAAUGUGCAAGGAAAAGAAUUUCUGGUAUUUAUUAACUAGAACAGUUAUCUUGGAAAAACUGGAAAACAAUGCUGGAGACUGAACACCGCCUGCAUCGGCACCUGUGAUUUACAAAGCAGGUAACAAGAAAUGGCAUUUAAGACAAUUACCACCUCAACAAAUCAUACACGUCUCCAUCACUCCCAGCACCCGAGCAGGUAGUAAGCCUGCAUUACAGAAGACACACAGAAAUGAAGGAAGUACCAGAAGGCUGCAAACCCAGUCACUGCCAUGGGUGAAAUGAGAAUGUUAACAGUGAAAGCUGAAGAUUCAGUCAAGUGAUCGCUGCCUUUAAGAGAAAAAUACAUUUCCAUUACAAACUCAAGAGAUGCACAGCAACCAGCAGAAAUGAUCUCUCAUCAUAACCCACCAAGAAAUAACUAACAUGCACAAGUUAGUCCCAAUAUUUGCAAAUCAUUUUGGACUUUGGACUAAGAAGUUUAUAUACCCCGUUUAUUUUCAAUGUAGGCUGCUCCGAAAGUAAUGCGUCCUAUUUAUUUCCAAGAAAAUGACAGAUACAAAAAACACAAUAAUACUACCUGACAGAGCAAAUUCUCAGUUACAAAACACUACUUUUCCACAUAGUCACUACCACUAGCUAUGUUUUUUCACCACUGAUGAACAAGAACCUGCAUACCAUGCUCAUAACUAUCUACACCAGUGGAGGUGACCCACUGUCACUGUCACCACUGCUGAAACGCACCACCCACUGCCUCACUGUGCUCACAUCCACUGAGUGGUCUCCAUAAAUGUUCAUCAAGAGGCAAUGAAUGCCAAUAGGUGCCAUUUUUUUACUCAUGGAGGAAUUCAAUGACACACCUUUGCUUCAUGCGUGCUUCCAUGUCAGAUCCCAUUUUGUCAGAAUGCCCCUCUACUGCCAUCUGUCACAUGACAACAAACUGUAAUGGAAUUUGGUGGGAAAGUUCAGCCUCUACUGCCAUACCACUAAUAUCCACGUCUGACAUCGUAAGCCAACAACAUAGGAGGCGUUACUUUCAGAGCAGCCUUUGUAUCACAGGUUAUGUGCAGCAACCCAUUCCUUUGCAAAAAAAUGAUAGCUGUGAAGGCUAAAGCGGCAGAGCACCAUCAGCUAAGAGCCUGCUACCAUUCAGAAACAGACUAUUAAAAUGUGCUGUUUUUUUU